AGAGUUUGAUCCUGGCUCAGAACGAACGCUGGCGGCAUGCCUAACACAUGCAAGUCGAACGAGAUCUUCGGAUCUAGUGGCGCACGGGUGAGUAACGCGUGGGAAUCUGCCUUCAGGUGCGGGAUAACUCAGGGAAACUUGAGCUAAUACCGCAUAAUGACUUCGGUCCAAAGAUUUAUUGCCUGAAGAUGAGCCCGCGUAAGAUUAGCUAGUUGGUGAGGUAAAAGCUCACCAAGGCGACGAUCCUUAGCUGGUCUGAGAGGAUGAUCAGCCACACUGGGACUGAGACACGGCCCAGACUCCUACGGGAGGCAGCAGUGGGGAAUAUUGGACAAUGGGCGAAAGCCUGAUCCAGCAAUGCCGCGUGAGUGAUGAAGGCCUUAGGGUUGUAAAGCUCUUUUACCCGGGAAGAUAAUGACUGUACCGGGAGAAUAAGCUCCGGCUAACUCCGUGCCAGCAGCCGCGGUAAUACGGAGGGAGCUAGCGUUGUUCGGAAUUACUGGGCGUAAAGCGCACGUAAGCGGUGAUUCAAGUCAGAGGUGAAAGCCCGGAGCUCGACUCCGGAACUGCCUAUGAAACUAGAUAGCUAGAAUCUAGGAGAGGCGAGUGGACUGAUGAGUGUACAUGUGAAAUUCGUAGCAUAUUCUGAUGAACACCAUUUGCGAAAGCGACUCGCUGGACACUAUCGACCCUGAUGUGCGAUAGCGUGGGAGCAACAUGAUACAUACCUGCUAUCUCGUCGAAUGAGGCACU
rnacentral:rRNA from 1 species